ensembl:lncRNA
UAAUACUGUCAUUACAUCACCUGUCACAGCUCAGAAGUUUAAUCCCACUCAGUGCAGGAGAUGAAAAGGUAAACCAGUCUGUUCAGUGACAUUAAGCACCUGUCAUUCAAAUCCCAGGAUCCAGAUGGAUUUGUAGAAAAGCAACAGACACCUUCCACGAGGAGCUGAAACCUGCAAUCCUGGCUGGUGCCUGGCUUUCUAGGAGGUUAAGCGGAAGCUAAUGGAGCUGCCUCCAUGCACUUACGCUUUGCAAAAAGAUAAGCUGCCAGUCUUAGUUCAAAAGCCAUCAACUACGUUCUUUUAAACUUGAAGUUUAAGGUUCGCUUUAGAGUCGAUAAUUUGAACAAGAAACUUAAGAGUGGCUGAUCAGACUUUAUUCCACAGUAAAGUCCCUUUUCACGCAUGUACCUACACAAAGGCUGAGGGAUUUUUGUUUGUUUUUUGGCAAUGAAUUGGAGUAGAAGGCAAUCAUAAGGUAGAAGAAAGAUCGUUUGAGUAGCAGUCAGGAACGCCGCUUCUACCACAAAGUACAAGUUCCUCAAAUUCUAUGUCAUUUAUAAAAAGAAGAAUUGAACAACGUAUUAAAGAAAACAGCUCUAGCAUAGCAUAAUGGUAAAUCUCAUAUCUUGAUCGUAUAGAUAGAUCUCAUCUUAUCUUCCUCUUCAAUACUGGCUCCCCUUCCCAUUUUCCCAAACUUGACAUGAGCCCCUCAAGUUUUCCUGUUAACUACUGGGGUAAGGAGAAUUCAAAGAUGCCCCCAGAUUCUCACCCUGCUGUCCAUGCCCACGGAACCCUCCACGAGUGAGGGCAGGGCUGUGAAUGUGAUGAGAUCGUCUGUCAUCGCCCCCUUGGCUAGGUUAUGCUAUAUGGCGAUGUGGUUAGGUUAGGUUUAUAAAGUUCCCAUCAUAGCAGACCGGAGAGGGAUGGAGUCAGACAGGUGUGUCCCUGUUGGUCUGGAAGAAAGCGACAGUACUGUUGUGAACAGCCUGUGAGGGCCAUGUACUGAAGAUUUCCACAGUCAGCCUGUAGGAGCUGGGAGUGGAACCAGCCCACAGGUAGCGAGAACGCAGGUCCCUCAGCCCGACAGCACAGGAAGAGUGUCUGCCCCAGCCCGUGAGCUGGAGGAGAAUCUGGAGCCUCAGAUGAGAUCACAGCACCAUGCUUUCAGCCUGGGCAGGCUCUGAGCAGAGGACUCAGGGACUUCUGACCCAUGAAAACUGUGAGAUAAUAAAUUUUUUGUUGUUUUAAACUGCUAAAUCUGUGAUAAUUUAUUAUGCAGCUAAAGAAAACUAGUAUAACUAUAUGCAACAUUUCAAAUGAAUGUUCAAUUCCUUCUACCAUUUAAAUUUACAUUCAUUCGUUCUUACAAAAGGUAUUUAUUAGGUAGCUGCAAAACGACAGAUGGCAUGCUAGGUGCCGCUGAUAUGCCACAGUCCCUGACCUUGAAGUGUGGCAGACUAGUAAAGAAAAUAGGUAUAGAAACAAAAUCUGUUAAGAAUGGGUAACGUGCUCUAAGAAUAGCUGGCUCAUACCUAGUACAGCCAGGACACAAAGAGGAAGUAAAUAAGUCUACUUAUGAGAUAAGGAGGUACAAGGAAAGAUUGUAUUAUAAAAUGCAACUUGAGAAAAUUGUGAGAGAGGAGUAGGUAUUCUCCAGUGGAAAGGGGAGAGAAGAGCAGUCUGAACAGAGAAGCUACAUGACUUAAUCACAGAGAUGUUUUUCUAGGCACUUUAAGUAGGUAAGUGGGUGAAAAGGCCUGCAGUGGAGGGGGCAGGAAAGAAAGAUGAUUGAAGAGAGAGGUGUGAAUAGGAAGCCAUAUCUUAGCAACGUGCUAUUCGAAGUGUGGUCCAAGGAGUAGCAACAUGGGCAUCACCUGGGAACUUGUUAGACGUGCAGAAUCUCAGGCCCCACCUCUAUCUACCAAAUCAGAAUCUACACUUUUACUGUCUCCUCAGGUGAUUCACAGGCACUUUCGUGUUUUAGAGCACAUCGAUGCUGGUGAAUGUGGAUGUUAUCCUUUAGAUAAGGGGAAGGUAUUGAAAUGUUUUAAGGCAGGUAGUAACACAAUCAGACCUAUCUUUUUGAAAAAGCAUUGGAAGAAAGGAGAAGGACUGAUGGGAGGAGAAUAAUACAGAAGGAAGAACAAUCGUCUAGAAUAUUAUUCUAAUAGGCUAGCCAAAUGAAAACAGCGGGAGCAGUGGGCACAGAAAGAAGUGGAGAAAUAAGACAGAUUUUUAAGGAGGAAGGUGCUGUAGAAUUUGCACAGACCAAGUGCGCUAACUGAGGGACACCAGGUUGUUUAGAAAGAACCUCGGGUGUCUGGUUAACGUGACUAUGUGGAUGGUCAUUUUCGAAUGUAGGAAAUGUAGGGGGAAUGAUAAGUUUCAUCCUGGACACACUGCGUUUGAGAUGCCUGGGGCUGAGGUGAAGAUAUCUGGUAGGAAGGGGAUACAUGCAUCCAAGGUCACUAGGAAUGUCUGGGUCAUUAAUUUGGAGGCCAAGGAUUUGCAGGGUACAUCUGAAGUCAUGAGCGUGAGUGCUUCCAAGCUGAUAUAUCCCGUUCAGUGUUCUGUUCUCAAUAUUUUGAAACUUCUAUACUCAAGAUUUCCACUGGUACUUGAUUUCCCCUUUUCCACCUUGUUGAAAGAAUACUUACGAAAUACAAGCAUAUGUCCAAAAUCAAAAGCUUUGAAAUGGGAUAAGCAUAUCCAGAAGCACUUUAGAUUCUGAUGAGAGAGGAUUCUGACCACUCGGAGCUCAGAAGUGAUGCUGGCAUGGAGGAAAAUCCACCUACCCAUCAAUUUCCAUAUACCUUCUUGUUCAAGGAUAAAUGCAAAGAAAUAAGUAAUCACCAUAAGAGACCUGUUAAAAGACUUGGCAGAGCCUUUGUUGUGAUUACGAGAUGAAUAUCAUUACACCCAAGAUACAAGGGAGGAAAUACAAUUUUUAAAAUAGUUACACUGCAGAAUUCAAGAAAACUUUAGAGAGUAACAUAUAUAAUUUCCAUAAAGCCAAAAAAAUUCUGUGAACAGAGUGAUAGAAUAGAAGAUGAUGUAAUAGCAGACUGAGUUAAAAGAGUGUUAAAAGAGUGUUCCAUUAUAUCAAGAAGUAUUUAAGGAAACUAAAAUUCAAGAGAAAGGGGAUAGGAUGGAAAUAGCUCUCUAAAAUUUAAUCAGUGAUGCAGAGAACACAUUUGAGAAUUCUUUUUCCAAAUUAAAACGUG